rnacentral:misc_RNA from 1 species
GUGAAUCAUCGAAUUUUUGUACGCAAAUUGCACUCUCCUCUGAGAGUAUGCCUGUUUGAGGGUCAGCCUAUAAAAAAUCGACAUCGUUGCUGUUUCACUGUGACGUUCGUCGGAACUUGGGUCAUCUUAAAUCUUUUGGUUUUAAGCGACUUAAAAUUUUCUUUUUGGUUCCAUGAACGUUUCUAAGAUUUAUUUCUUUACACGUUUAAGGUAUCGAUUUUUAUUAGACGUGACGAUCAUAGUGGAUCGAGCCCAUAAUCUUUCGUUAACUGACCUCAGACAGGUUAGAGUACCCGC